GCAGUCUGCCGGUCUGUCGCUCAAUGUGGUCAUUGAGAGGAAAGUCCGGGCAACACAGAGCACCAUAUUUCCUAACGGGAAGCUGUCUGCGAGGGCAGAGUAACGUAACAGAAAAAAACCGCUCCCCUACGGGGGGAGUAAGGGUGAAAAGGCGAGGUAAAAGCUCACCGGGUAUUAUAGCGAUAUGGUACGCCGUACGUCUUAUGGGUUGCGAGAUCGUGUAUACCGGCGCAUGUAGGGUUGCUCGCCCGAUGCCGGGGGGUAGAUCGCUGGAUUUUACCGGCGACGGUAAAACAAGAUAAAUGACAGACGCUUGCGAGUAAUCGUGAGUACAGAACCCGGCUUACAGGCAGACUGCUUUA
rnacentral:RNase_P_RNA from 1 species